GUCAUUCUCUUGGCGAAACAAGACAGGGAACCAAAAUCAAAGGGAAGAAAGAAUUACAUUGUAAUUUGGCGGCUCUCUAAAGAGGUUAAUCUAUGCUGUAUAUUUUGUAAGCCGGUAUUCGAACAUGAGACUGUGUCUGUUGCUUCACUUUUCCAAAUGAUGAUAAUCAUUAUGUCAUUUAUUAAGAGUUUACUAUGUUCAGUGGAAUUUAUGAAGUGCUUAUGAUGUUCUAAGCCCUGGGUUAAAUACAAUUUUAUCAGAUUGAACACAGUUCCUGUCCCACACAAUCUAUUUUAUCCCUCUUUUACAGAUGAGGAAACUGAGGCCCAGAGCAGUUAAAUGACCCAUCCAAGGUCAUGCAGGCAGCCCGUGGCAGAGCUGAGACUAGAACCCAGAUCUCCUGACCCCCAGUUCCUAAUGCCAGGACUAGAAAGGCUUUUGCUCUGAAGUCCCGGGCCGGCUAGUGGCGCUCGAUCUCAGAAAGCUGAGGAGUCCAGAAAGGAAGGCCCCCCCGCCCCUCCCACCUGAUGGGUGACGGGUGCGGGAAUGGAAACUAAGCUCUUCGAAGAGAGGCCGCGCCCCGCCGAGAGCGGGGGGACAUCGAGGGAGACAAAGCCCGAAGGAGCAGAUGCCAGAUUUCGCGGGCCCGCCUCUCAGCCUGCCACUGACUCCCAUCCGGGGACCUGUUCAGCUGGGAAUAGCGAGACCCCCUCGGUGCUGGUCAGAGGGUCGGGAAACAGUAGUCCCCUCGGUGGGGCGUCCCCCCGCUCCCUUUCGGUCAGAGCUGUGGAUUCUCUCCACCUUUCCCCUUGGGAGAGAAACCUCGCCACGCUUCUUCCAAGCGAACGCCCCAGGGAGACCCCAGAAAGGGGCCCUCAGACCCACAUCAUCCGACAAGAACCCAGCACAAUCGUUUUUGCCAACUACGAGUUUUUAUCCCCUGCCGUCGAUUCUGUGCUCCGCGGCCCAGAGGUCCCGGACGCCGAAGCCUCUUCAUAUGAGUCCGGGGAGGAGGAGGAGGGAGAAGAGGGUGACGAAGAUGUUUUCACCCAGCCAUCCCUUCGCGAGCCGUUUGUCCACGGCCUUCUCCCGAGCAUCAUUCCCGCAGACCAGCCAGAGGCAUGUGAAUUCCCCGAGGAGGGGGAUGUUUGUCUUACACCGAGCCCCCCGGGGCGUUGGGAGAGAGAACCUAAUGAACGGGCGACGGGAGAGAAGCAGAUCCACAAAGCGUCUUCUGUUAAACUGGAUGCCGGUGAGAAUAGAGAUCCUCAGAGGAAGGGAAUUGGUAGAAAUAAGUGGGGAAGCUUCCAGAAGCUAGAUGACUGGCCAAACCCAAUGUCAGCUGGAGCACGCCCCAAAAUUAAAGUAAGUAGCUACAUUUCAGAAUAUUCUGGCUACCAUUCCGAGCUCCAGGACAAGUAAUAUUCCUUGGCCUAGAAAAACCUUCAUUGGCAUUCUUUAUUAUUGUUGUGUUAAGAUAAAUGUAACAUCGGGACUGCUAGGAUUUCCCGGGCAUGUUAAGCACAAGAAGAAGCGUACGAGAACGGAGAUCGUAAACUCCUUGUGGC
rnacentral:lncRNA from 1 species